rnacentral:lncRNA from 1 species
GUUGUGCUAGGUUAUAGGGCUGGCAGUGUAAGCCUGUCUCUGGGACACACACACACACACACACACACACACACACACACACACACACCCUGUAUGGUAGCCUAGGUCAAAUUGCCUCAGACUGUUAAGUUUUCUCCCUCUGGGAGUGUUCUUCCUUGGAAUUGGAUCCAAAUCUUGAUAUGGGUGAUAGUUGUUUAAGCAAUCUAGGGUUAGGGUUAGGAAGUGUAAAUUUUCAGUGCUUGGCAUAAAUUAUGCUCACCUGUCAAUGUAGACAUGAUUCUUUUGUGGCAGUAUUUCCCGUCUUUUGUUUGCUUUGAGACAAGAUCUCAUAUAGCCCAGGCUAGCCUGGAAAUAAAUAUUAUAUUGAUAAUAUAUAGCGUAUAAUAGGAAUUCAUAUAUAUGUCCAACUUUGGUCUGAGGUCCUGCUCCUGUCUUCCGAGUGGUGGGGUUCCAGGCAUGUCUCUUGCUGACUUCACUUAACAGGUUGGAUGGGGUUUUUGUUGUUGUUGUAUUUAAAUGUUUGAAAGAGCUUGGGUAAUGCACAGGCACACAAAUAAUUUUCCUUAAAAAAAACCAACAAAACAAAAAACCAAGGCCUGCUGUGUAGCCCAGGCUCACCUUUAACGUGAGAUCUUCUUGCCUCAGCUUUCGAAUGCUGGGAUAAAGAUUGUGCAUCUCCCCUGCCUGUCUAGCAAGAAUGAAUGAUUUCACACACCCAUCUCCUAGCAUCAUAGACAGAAACUCAAGUAUCCUAGAGUCACUUCAAACUGUGUGUCCAAGGACAACUUUAAACUUCGGAUCCUCCUCCCUCUACGUCUUGAGUUCCGGGUUUACGAUUAUUGGGCAUGAUGGUGCAUGCUCACACUUUCGAAUCUGAGACAGAACGAUCAGGAGUUGGAGGCAGCCCAGUCUACAGGAAACCCUGUGCUUGUGUGUAUAUGCACAUGCUAGAGAGUGUACCCGGUAUGGUAGCACAUGGCUUAUAACCUCAGUACUUCAGAGGCAGGGGCAGACAGGUCUAUGCAAAUUUGAGGCCAGCCUGGUCUACAUAGCAAGGUCCAGUGUGAGACACUGUCUUAAAGCAUUGAAAGACAAA